rnacentral:rRNA from 1 species
CACGUAGUUAGCCGGGGCUUCCUACUCAGGUACCGUCAUCUUCUUCCCUGCUGAUAGAGCUUUACAUACCGAAAUACUUCUUCACUCACGCGGCGUUGCUGCAUCAGGGUUUCCCCCAUUGUGCAAUAUUCCCCACUGCUGCCUCCCGUAGGAGUUUGGGCCGUGUCUCAGUCCCAAUGUGGCCGGUCACCCUCUCAGGUCGGCUACUGAUCGUCGCCUUGGUGGGCCGUUACCCCUCCAACUAGCUAAUCAGACGCGGGUCCAUCUCAUACCACCGGAGUUUUUCACACAAGAACAUGCAUCCUCGUGCGCUUAUGCGGUAUUAGCAGUCAUUUCUAACUGUUACUCCCCCUGUAUGAGGCAGGUUACCCACGCGUUACUCACCCGUCCGCCACUCACGUCAAUCUAAGCCUUCCACUCCGAAAACUUCCGACUAAACUCGCUUCGUUCACUUGCAUGUGUUAAGCACGCCGCCAGUCCGUUCACUCCUGACG